AGCCGCGGUAACACCGGCGGCCCGAGUGGUGAUCGUGAUUAUUGGGUCUAAAGGGUCCGUAGCCGGUUUGGUCAGUCCUCCGGGAAAUCUGAUAGCUCAACUAUUAGGCUUUCGGGGGAUACUGCCAGACUUGGAACCGGGAGAGGUAAGAGGUACUACAGGGGUAGGAGUGAAAUCUUGUAAUCCCUGUGGGACCACCUGUGGCGAAGGCGUCUUACCAGAACGGGUUCGACGGUGAGGGACGAAAGCUGGGGGCACGAACCGGAUUAGAUACCCGGGUAGUCCCAGCCGUAAACGAUGCUCGCUAGGUGUCAGGCAUGGCGCGACCGUGUCUGGUGCCGCAGGGAAGCCGUGAAGCGAGCCACCUGGGAAGUACGGCCGCAAGGCUGAAACUUAAAGGAAUUGGCGGGGGAGCACAACAACGGGUGGAAGCCUGCGGUUUAAUUGGACUCAACGCCGGACAACUCACCGGGGGCGACAGCAAUAUGUAGGCCAAGCUGAAGACUUUGCCUGAAUCGCUGAGAAGUGGUGCAUGG
rnacentral:rRNA from 1 species